AUGCAGGAGCGCAGAGCAAAAAUCUUGGAUGACUCUAGUACAUUGGCUAAAGGAGUUGAUGGGGAUUUCAUUGCACCUGAUAGCUUGCUGCAGGAGGUUGUCAAUCUUGUGGAGGCGCCUGUGCCCAUUCUUGGACGAUAUGAUGAUUCCUUCCUAGAACUUCCGAAAGAUGUGUUAACAACGGUUAUGCAGAAACACCAGAGGUAUUUUCCUGUAACCUCCAAGUCUACAGGCGAUCUGCUACCAUAUUUUAUUACCGUUGCUAAUGGUUCUAUUAGUGAAGAAGUGGUCCGUAAAGGCAAUGAAGCUGUACUCAGGGCAAGGUAUGAGGAUGCCAAGUUCUUUUAUAAGAUGGAUACACAAAAGAAUUUGUCUGAAUUCCGAGGCCUGCUGAAGAGCAUUCUCUUUCAUGUGAGUUGUGCUGAAUUUUCCUUGGAUUCUUGUGUUCUGCUUAUUCUUAUUUUAUCUGCACCACAUUGA
rnacentral:rRNA from 1 species